rfam:Oryza brachyantha chromosome 2, whole genome shotgun sequence.
AAUAACCUCAUUUUUCGUUUUUCCGUAUCAAACGUUUGACCAUUCGUCUUAUUUAAAAAAAUUGUGCAAAAACCUAAAAACAUUAGUCACGUAUAAAGUACUAUUCAUAUUUUAUCAUCUAGUAAUAAUAAAAAUAUUAAUCGUAAAAAAUUUCAAACAAAAUGAAUGGUCAAACGUUGGACACAUAAAAAUGAAAAGUGAGAUUAUU